rnacentral:tRNA from 1 species
GGGCGGUUAGCUCAGCGGUAGAGCACUCGCCUUACAAGCGAGGGGUCACUGGUUCGAUACCAGUACCGCCCACCA